GGCCACUGUGCCCCCUGACCCAGCUUCCAGCCUGAGCCACAGCUCCCUUCCCUGGAAUGUUGCAGGCUUGGCCUGGGCUCCCAGCGGCUGACCCUGGCAUGGGGGUGGGGGGGCAGUGGGAAGGGACGGAGCAGGUGGUGUGAUGGGAGGACCCUGACCUUUACUGCAAAAAGGACCCUGGCACCCACGCUUUCAGACGGCCUUCGGGCCUCUCGAAUAAAUUCACCACACAUACUCCAUCCCCACUCCCAGAGCUGCUGUGAAUGCUGGCACUUCCUCUUACUCCCUGGGUGGCCUCAGGGUUGUGAGGAUCAAAUGAGAAAGGUCAGGAAACUUCUGUUCCUUUCUAUUCAAAGAAGGCCACUUCUCAAGCUCCACAAGAAGCCACCCAGAGCAGCCAAUCUCCUGCCUCCCCCAGACUCCAGAAACCCAAAACUUGCUACCCAGCCUCACCCCUGGCUCCCUGGAGACCUCUGGGUGACCCUGGCCCCAGCACUGGCCCUGUAGAAAGACUCUCAGCCUCCCUCCCAUCACAAGAUCUGAACUUCCGACCACCCCCCAACGCAGAGAGGGUGGAGCAGGAUCUGAAGCUGAGGCCUGCACAAGGGCCCCUUGUCCUGCUGGGCAGCCUGGCACGAUCUGUCCUGUCCCAAGGAGGCUCGCUGGGACUAUUGUCUUUGUGUUGUGGCUUGGGGGAGGGGCAGAUCAUGGUUCAUCAGGGCCAGGCCAGAGGGACGAGGCUCACACUCCAGCCCAUCUCCUGGAGUGGCAGGUUUUGAUACCUUCCUCCCACUCCACAAUGGCCAGACAUGUGCCAGGAUUUGUUCUGGAUCCUUCCAGGCUGCUGGGUCCCAUUGUUAAUCAAGGUGCCUCCGCACCCUGCUUCCUGCCAUUGCCUGCCUGAAAAAGCUCAGUUUCCAUCUUCUAUCUUGAUAAUCCCCAUCCCAUCCUUGUUCCUUCCCUGUCUUUAUUAUAUGAAUUAUUUACUAAAUCAUGCAAUGCACCUAACAGAGUACUGACCCACAAUUACCUUUCAACAAAAUGCUAGUACUGCCCAGCUACCAUUCCAAGUCACUCAGGAUAAGGAUUUAUUUUAUUAUUAUUUUUAUUUUAUUUUAUUUUAUUGAGAUGGAAUCUCGCUCUGUCACCCAGGCUGGAGUGCAGUGGCACUAUCUUGGCUCACUGCAACCUCUGCCUCUGGAGUUCAAGCGAUUCUCCUGCCUCAGCCUCCUGAGUAGUUGGGAUUACAGGCACUCACCACCAUGCCUGGCUAAUUUUUGUAUCUUUGGUACAGACGGGGUUUCACCUUGUUGGACAGGCUGCUCUCGAAUUCCUGGCCUCAAGUGAUCUACCCACCUCGGCCUCCAAAUGUGCUGGGAUUACAGGCGUGAGCCACCACGCCUGGCCGAGGAUUUAUUAGUAAAACUCCCAAGCCUUUGCUCUGGACCCCAUAUUCCCAUUUUUGCUCCCUUUCCCUCCUGUUGGCCCUACUUCUUCUACGGUGCCUUCAGCGUCUUCCUGCAGCUGUGCCAGGGCCAGUUUUCAGGUCCCACAGACCUGAGCUCUGAUCCCAGCUCCCACACUACACAAUCUGCAAUUUUGAGCAAGUUACAUAUUAAACUUCCCUGAUUCUUAAUUUCCUUAUCCACAAAGUGAGAAGGGAUUAUCUCUGCUACAGGGGGCAAGUAAGAUCAAAUAAGAUAGUGGUCAUGAAAACCUCAUGAAAAUUUAUUACCAGGCCACACAGCAGAGAUUUUAUUACAAUCAUCAACGUGCUAAUGGAUGGCCUUCCCACCCACCUGGAGAUAAGAGUAUCCUCUUCCAGCUUCUUGGAGACUAUAAUAAUAAUUAUCCUUAUUAUUAUUAGGUGUGUAAUGACUUAACUUUACUGAGAAUUUUCACACCCUUCAAAAUGUUACAACAUUCCCAAAGAGAUCCUGUGUUAGAAGAGGUAGGGGAAGAAAAAUAAUUUUGGAAAGCUGGAAACUUCCAGCAUCACUUGGGUCAUUUACAAAUAAUUUGUUUUCUGCCAGAGAUAACCAAGGUCCUCACAUCCUGGACACUUACAGUCUAGCAAGGAGAGGGCUGCUAGAUUUCAGCAGCCCCGCCCUGGGGCCAGUGUACAGUUAUUUCCAGUGGGUCCGGCGUUCAUCCCAAAGCCCAGUAUAGUCUGGGGCUAGACAAAGGCCUUUCGGAUGCCAGCGACGACCAAAGAGGAGGCUCAUGCACCCCAGGCAACACCCUUCCUGCCCUGGUCCUGACAGCCACACCAAGGGUUAACCAGACCCAGCCCUUCCUGGCUACUGGCAGGACAGGCAGGCUUAAGUCCCCUCAAUAAACAAUAGUGGGGCCACUUGCCAGCACCACACACAUGAGCAAAAACUCUGCUUGGACCUGAAGAGCCCCCUCACCCCACCCCUUCCCAGCUGCUCAGGCCCAGGGAGGGGUUCGCAGUUCUGGAAAGGGUUAAGUCUGCAGGAGGUGCCUGGGACCCAGCUGUUUCCUGUGGGCAGGGGCGGGGGAUUUACAGCCUCCCCCACCGUGGGGCUACCAAGCCUGUGUUGGGGAAGGAUGCCUCUGAGUCCUUGCUCUGAGGCCAGACUCCCGUCAUGCAGCCAGGGCCUCCCACGCAGGCGCCAGCAGAAAGGAGGGGGCAGGAAAGAGGAGCCUCGGGAUCCAGGAGAAAGCAGGCUGGCCUCUGCAGAACAAAAUGGGCAGAUGGGGAGCUGGCCCUGUCAGUCCCGGGCCUCACCUCAUUUGGAGACGGUAGCCUGUGGCAGGGAAGUUGGUCUGGGAGUUCAGGCACUAGGCUUCCAUUUCAGGUGAAAAUGUGAUGUUAUGCUGCUCUGUGCCUCGGUUUCUUCCCUGCUGGGCACACCCUUG
rnacentral:lncRNA from 1 species